rnacentral:rRNA from 1 species
CCUACGGGUGGCUGCAGUGGGGAAUAUUGGACAAUGGGCGAAAGCCUGAUCCAGCCAUGCCGCGUGUGUGAAGAAGGUCUUCGGAUUGUAAAGCACUUUAAGUUGGGAGGAAGGGCAGUAAGAUAAUACCUUGCUGUUUUGACGUUACCGACAGAAUAAGCACCGGCUAACUCUGUGCCAGCAGCCGCGGUAAUACAGAGGGUGCAAGCGUUAAUCGGAAUUACUGGGCGUAAAGCGCGCGUAGGUGGUUUGUUAAGUUGGAUGUGAAAGCCCCGGGCUCAACCUGGGAACUGCAUCCAAAACUGGCAAGCUAGAGUACGGUAGAGGGUGGUGGAAUUUCCUGUGUAGCGGUGAAAUGCGUAGAUAUAGGAAGGAACACCAGUGGCGAAGGCGACCACCUGGACUGAUACUGACACUGAGGUGCGAAAGCGUGGGGAGCAAACAGGAUUAGAUACCCCGGUAGUC